rnacentral:tRNA from 1 species
UAGCGUAGUGGUUAGGCUUCUGACUAUCAAUCAGAAGGUUAUGGGUUCAAUUCCCAC